rnacentral:rRNA from 1 species
GCGUAUGCAACCUGCCCUUCACAGGGGGAUAACCGGGAGAAAUUCCGACUAAUACCGCAUACGUCCUCCGGGGGCAUCCCCGGGGGAUGAAAGAAUUAUCGGUGAAGGAUGGGCAUGCGUGAUAUUAGGUAGUUGGCGGGGCAACGGCCCACCAAGCCCACGAUAUCUAGGGGUUCUGAGAGGAAGGUCCCCCACAUUGGUACUGAGACACGGACCAAACUCCUACGGAAGGCAGCAGUGAGGAAUAUUGGUCAAUGGACGAGAGUCUGAACCAGCCAAGUCGCGUGAAGGAAGACGGAUCUAUGGUUUGUAAACUUCUUUAGUGCGGGAACAAAGCGGCGUCGUGACGCCUGAUGAGUGUACCGCAAGAAUAAGCAUCGGCUAACUCCGUGCCAGCAGCCGCGGUAAUACGGAGGAUGCGAGCGUUAUCCGGAUUUAUUGGGUUUAAAGGGAGCGCAGGCUGCGAGGCAAGUCAGCGGUCAAAUGUCGGGGCUCAACCCCGGCCUGCCGUUGAAACUGUCCUGCUAGAGUUCGAGUGAGGUAUGCGGAAUGCGUUGUGUAGCGGUGAAAUGCGUAGAUAUUAGGAGGAACACCAGUGGCGAAGGCGGAUUGCUGGACGAUAACUGACGGUGAGGCGCGAA